rnacentral:rRNA from 1 species
AUUGAACGCUGGCGGCAUGCUUUACACAUGCAAGUCGAACGGCAGCGCGGGCUUCGGCCUGGCGGCGAGUGGCGAACGGGUGAGUAAUGCAUCGGAACGUGCCCAGUAGUGGGGGAUAGCCCGGCGAAAGCCGGAUUAAUACCGCAUACGACCUGAGGGUGAAAGCGGGGGACCGAAAGGCCUCGCGCUAUUGGAGCGGCCGAUGUCGGAUUAGCUAGUUGGUGGGGUAAAGGCUUACCAAGGCGACGAUCCAUAGCUGGUCUGAGAGGACGACCAGCCACACUGGGACUGAGACACGGCCCAGACUCCUACGGGAGGCAGCAGUGGGGAAUUUUGGACAAUGGGGGCAACCCUGAUCCAGCCAUGCCGCGUGCGAGAAGAAGGCCUUCGGGUUGUAAACCGCUUUUGUUCGGGAAGAAAUCCUCUGGGCUAAUACCCCGGGGGGAUGACGGUACCGGAAGAAUAAGCACCGGCUAACUACGUG